GGUCCACAGGGUCACAGCAUUGGGGCCUUACCCUCCCUCACAGUCAUUUCCUACCUUCUUGGGCCUCCUCCGGCAUGGUGGGUGUUGGGCAGGCAGGGGGUCGAUAAGAGUGCCUAGUACUAGGACCAGAUAGACGCAGCAGUGGCUCCUCUGAGAGCCUGGGGAAAGCCUGGCUGCUUCCCAACCUGGGCUGAAAAUAGGCGUGAGCUCAGCACACUGGGCUAUAUUUAGAGGGGGCACCUCCCAGCCAUGGGAAGGAGCAGAGUGACCCACAUGGACCAGCCUAGAUGAUCUACCUGGUGAUGGAGCCCAGGCAACAGCACACCUCCAGUAGUGCAGGUACCCUGGGAACCCUGCUACUCAUGUCUGCAGGGCCUUGGUGUCUUCAUCCAGACAAGCCUCCUCAGGCUCACCUCCAGUGAUGUCCCACAUGUCAAACCCAUGCAAGGGAGCCCUGUGCAUCUCCACCCCUCCACCCCUUGAAGACUCCUACCCACAGCGGGUUCAUCUAGCAAAUGUGGGACAAGCACCCACCACUGAUCUGCUGGCAUCACGAAUGAGGAGUGAUGGACAACUGGAGCCCAGUGCCCUGAGGGCUCUGAGAGUCCCCAAAGGGGACAGAGACACCCCCAAUACCUGCAGGUACCCAUGGUGGUCAGUGAAGGAACAUAGGUUGAAGGUUGAUACUUCUAUUACUAAGUUUACAACUUUGGGUAAAGGAAUGCUCCCUCUCAGACCUCAGUUUUCUCAUCUGUAAAGCAGGAAUAACAAUGGUUCCUACCUGGCACAGUGCACAUGAGAAUGAAAAUAUAAGCACGUGUCUGAAGCACUUAGGCCAAUGCAAAGUUUUGAUCCUCCUUCCUCUCUCCAUAAGAGAAUACAGGUCACACAAGUUCAUGUGAGGAUGCAUAGCACCACCUGCCCUUAAAGAGAGGGAGUGGUCCAGCUUAGGACCCACCCUCUGCUGUUGAACCCCUGUGCCCCUCCUUCCCAAAUGGGCCAAAGCAAGACAUUAGGCUCUACUUCUUAAACAUCUGAAAUCCAUCACUCUGCUGUAUCCUUCUUGAUAUUCCUCAAACUCAAGCUUGUUCCCACCUCAGGGCCUUUGCACUGGCUGUUCCCACCUGGAAUGUUCUUCACUAGAUGUUCCCAUGGCUGACUCCUUUUCAUUUAGCUCAAAUGUCACCCCCUUGGUGAGGCCUUCUGCUCACAUUCUUUUCUACAUCACCCAAUUUUAUUUUUUUCAUAGCAUUUAGCCUGGAAAUUAUAUCAUCCAGAAUAUACAGUUGACCCUUGAAUAACUAUAGGGGUUAGGGAUCCCAAACCUCUGUGCAAUGGAAAAUCCACAUACAACUUUACAGUUCACCCACCCUCUGUAACCAUGGUUCCGUAUCUGCAGAUUCAACAAACCAGGGAUCCAGUAGUACUGUAGUACUAUUUAUUGAAAAAAAUCACAUGUAAGUGGAUCCUGUACAGCUCAAGCUGGUGUUCAAGGGUUAAGUGUACUAUGCAUGUCAGUAUCCCCAAAGGCCCUACAGAAUCCACUCAGUCACAUGGAAACCACCUUUAAUCCUCACCAUAGCAUCCUUAAAAUAAAUAGGUUUUGAGACUUCCAGGAGGUGUCCAAGGCCACACAGCAACAACUAGUGAGACAGGGUGGGACCUGGCACCCUUUGGUGCAGUGCUUACACCUGGACAAACAUCUCCUGAGCAAAAGAAUACAAAGAAACCAUAAGGGACUAAAAAUAACUAUGCACCUGCAAAUGGAGCAGAUUAUGAACAAUAUACAAAAAGACCAAAAACCCAAAUGCCACUUCUGAACUGCUGGGAGCAAAAGGAGUGCACUACUCACGAUUCCUGCCCACGACACCACCAAGAGGGUGGGCAGACCACCUAAGCCACCCCUACCGCCUGAACCAUGGAUCUGACCCUACCCUCACCCCAUUUAAAGGACCAACUCACCCCCCAGCCCCGCUUCAGGGAGCAAGCAAGGCAACCUGUUCUUUUUGCUCCCUUGUGCUGCAGCAUGAGUCCCAACAAAGCCUUGCCUGAAUUUCUCGUCUGGCCUCAUCAAUUUCUGUUCACUGAAGAGUCCAAGAAUCUGGGUCGGUAACGUACGUGGUGGCAACUCCACCGGACACCUAUGGGGCCGUUUGCCCCCUCCCUGGGAGAGAAUCCAGGCACCUCUGGAACCAACAAACGCACUUUCCCCGUAGGUGACAAGCUGCCGCCUGAACCUCUUGUUUCAGCAUAACCACGUUUGAGUGGACGUCGGGCAGCUACAGCACCGCUCCUCUCAGCUUGUGAGACCAUGCUCCCUCUGGCCAACAACGACUCACCUUGAUGGAUGACAAACAGAGGUGGGAGAGGCUCACCUCAAGCAGUGCAGGUCUUGGUCCAGCAGGCUCUCCCGGACAGGAGAUUUCUGAGAAUGAUAGAGGUUCAACUCUCAUAUCCUAUAGUUUUUGCAAGUACAAUCAUCACAAUAUCCUCACCUUUAUUUUCCUGCCGCCAAGAGAAAUCCCAUCAGGAAAGGGCCAAGGCAGAUUUCUAUGAAAACCUGUGGGUGCAAAUCCUACCUGUGGGUUAGAGUCCUACGUAUGAUGUAUAAAUUGUACGCGUGCACCGAAGUCCCACCUGUGGAUCACAAUCCCACAGAGACGUACAAAUGGUUGUUUCCCAGGAUUAAUCACCCCAGUGGGCAGUGGACAGGGUGCUCCCUCCUUCACUGGCCCUUUCUGAAAGUGCGCAGACUGAUGCCUAAACAGACACCUGCUGGGGACAGGCUGAAACGGCAAUCUCUCUCUCUCUGUCUUACCUAUCCCUCCUCCCUUUACCACUCCCUUGAUUCUUACACCUACACUCCUGUUCCUUUCAUCCUGGGGACUCCUUCUUUGUGUCACGAACUCUGGGGAGGAAAUUCUUGACCCCCUUGGUUGUUAUGCAAGGCCUCAGCUCCAUCUGGCCCCUGAUCUCCAGUUUUAGCCCCAAAUUUAUAUGUAAACAUGAAAAACACCCAGGGAAUCCUCAAAGACUAUCCUCGGGGUUGCAUUCUUAACAACUGGGUAUGAUUUAAAUGAGGCAGUUUAAAAAAGAAUAAGCUGAUUUUCUCUUUCAACACAGAAUGACCCCAAUAUGCCUUGGGUGACCCGGCAAAGUGGCCACAGAAUGAAUCCCUUAACUUUAACACCAUUUUACAACUGGACCUGUUUUUUAAACAGUCCCCAAAAUGGGGGAAGUCCCAUAAGCACAGGCCAUUAUAAAACUCUGGUCUGAGGGAUUCCUGUCGUGUGUGUUUAGCCUCUAUUUCUGUGUCUCUCCAAGAAGGUUUAGAUCCAGACCCCUUUCAACACCACUAGCCAUCAGCACACUGAGCCACCUUUUCCGUCUCCCGUUUCUGCCCCUUCACCGUCUUCAGCCCCGCACCCCCACCUUACCCCAUCAAAUCAGAACCCCGGUGCUUUCCCCAGUGGGGCUCCAAUCAGGCUCAAAGGUAGCCCCCACUUUUGCCCCACCAGGCUUUUACCACCUCUGGGAAGAAACUGAUGAGAAUGGAGAAUUACUAAGUGCAGCAUGUCCCCUUCUCACUGCGGGACCUAGAAAUCUGUAAGGAGCGAUUUGGCAGGUUCUCAGAGAAUCCUGAAAAGCUUAGGGACAAAUUUAUCAGGCUGGGAUUAACAUUCUCCCUGACCUGGUAGGAUAUCAUAGUUAUUCUGGCCCACUGCUGUACCCUGAACGACAUGGAGUGUAUACUGAAAAAGGACAAAAAACACACAGAUGGCCUACUGACCACCAAUCCACACCACCAAAUUUGUCAAGUGAGUGGUAACACAAUGCAAGAUCAUGAGCCACACUGGGACUAUGAGGAUCAUGUAGGCCAGGCUAUGAUGAAACAUGUUACUUGUGUAUCAGAAGGAAUGAAAAGGUAUAUGGUGAAACCUGUAAAUCAUGAAGUCCAAGAAGUUACAC
ensembl:lncRNA